AUUAUUUUUAAAAGAGUCAGGGCACAGAGGGAUGAUGAGCUUCAGCAUUUUGACAGUUAUCACUAUCUUACAAUGCUUCACAUCUAAUGAAGUCUAAGAGCUUUCCUACACCUUGGAGAUUACAAGCUGUUUGUACAGAUCUAUGUUUAAUAGAAAAGCCAUACAACAAGUCCUCCCGGCCCUGCCUAAAAUACGCAUGACGAAACUCUACAGGACCAUCUCGCUCCAGUUUGACAAUUCCAGAAUCAACAUGGACAACUUUACGGAAGCC